UAGUGAUCCGGUGGUUCUGAAUGGAAGGGCCAUCGCUCAACGGAUAAAAGGUACUCCGGGGAUAACAGGCUGAUACCGCCCAAGAGUUCAUAUCGACGGCGGUGUUUGGCACCUCGAUGUCGGCUCAUCACAUCCUGGGGCUGAAGUAGGUCCCAAGGGUAUGGCUGUUCGCCAUUUAAAGUGGUACGCGAGCUGGGUUUAGAACGUCGUGAGACAGUUCGGUCCCUAUCUGCCGUGGGCGCUGGAGAACUGAGGGGGGCUGCUCCUAGUACGAGAGGACCGGAGUGGACGCAUCACUGGUGUUCGGGUUGUCAUGCCAAUGGCACUGCCCGGUAGCUAAAUGCGGAAGAGAUAAGUGCUGAAAGCAUCUAAGCACGAAACUUGCCCCGAG
rnacentral:rRNA from 2 species